UUAAUGAGAGUUUGAUCCUGGCUCAGGACGAACGCUGGCGGCGUGCCUAAUACAUGCAAGUAGAACGCUGAGGUUUGGUGUUUACACUAGACUGAUGAGUUGCGAAAGGGUGAGUAACGCGUAGGUAACCUGCCUCAUAGAGGGGGAUAAUUAUUGGAAACGAUAUCUAAUACCGCAUAAGAUUAAUUAACACAUGUUGGAUAUUUAAAAGGAGCAAUUGCCUCACUGUGAGAUGGACCUGAGUUGUAUUAGCUAGUUGGGGAGGUAAAGGC
rnacentral:rRNA from 1 species